rnacentral:misc_RNA from 1 species
UCCGAGUUGACCCCGGCAGUCUCCUGCGAGUCCCCGCCAUUACGCGCUGGCAACACAGGACAAGGGUUGCGCUCGUUGCGGGACUUAACCCAACAUCUCACGGCACGAGCUGACGACAACCAUGCACCACCUGUAUGGCGCCCUUGCGGACCUGACAUCUCUGCCAGUUUUCACCAUAUGUCAAGCCUUGGUAAGGUUCUUCGCGUUGCGUCGAAUUAAACCACAUGCUCCGCUGCUUGUGCGGGUCCCCGUCAAUUCCUUUGAGUUUUAGCCUUGCGGCCGUACUCCCCAGGCGGGGCACUUAAUGCGUUAGCUCCGGCACGGGAGGAGUCGACGCCUCCCACACCUAGUGCCCAUCGUUUACGGCGUGGACUAC